rnacentral:rRNA from 1 species
GAUGAACGCUGGCGGCGUGCCUWACACAUGCAAGUCGAGCGAUUUACUUCGGUAAAGAGCGGCGGACGGGUGAGUAACGCGUGGGUAACCURCCUCAUACACAUGGAUAACAUACCGAAAGGUAUGCUAAUACAGGAUAAYAUAAGRGAUUCGCAUGGAUUUCUUAUCAAAGCUCCGGCGGUAUGAGAUGGACCCGCGUCUGAUUAGCUAGUUGGUAAGGUAAUGGCUUACCAAGGCRACGAUCAGUAGCCGACCUGAGAGGGUGAUCGGCCACAUUGGAACUGAGACACGGUCCAAACUCCUACGGGAGGCAGCAGUGGGGAAUAUUGCACAAUGGGCGAAAGCCUGAUGCAGCAACGCCGCGUGAGUGAUGAAGGCCUUCGGGUCGUAAAACUCUGUCCUCAAGGAAGAUAAUGACGGUACUUGAGGAGGAAGCCCCGGCUAACUACGUGCCAGCAGCCGCGGUAAUACGUAGGGGGCUAGCGUUAUCCGGAUUUACUGGGCGUAAAGGGUGCGUAGGUGGUUUCUUAAGUCAGGAGUGAAAGGCUACGGCUCAACCGUAGUAAGCUCUUGAAACUGGGAAACUUGAGUGCAGGAGAGGAAAGUGGAAUUCCUAGUGUAGCGGUGAAAUGCGUAGAUAUUAGGAGGAACACCAGUAGCGAAGGCGGCUUUCUGGACUGUAACUGACACUGAGGCACGAAAGCGUGGGGAGCAAACAGGAUUAGAUACCCUGGUAGUCC